AUUGAACGCUAGCGGGAUGCCUUACACAUGCAAGUCGAACGGCAGCACGGACUUCGGUCUGGUGGCGAGUGGCGAACGGGUGAGUAAGGUAUCGGAACGAGCCCAGUAGCGGGGGAUAACUACUCGAAAGAGUAGCUAAUACCGAAUACGCCCUACGGGGGGAAGGGGGGGAGGGCAAGACCUCUCACUAUUGGAACGGCGGAUAUCGUAUUAGCUAGUUGGUGGGGUAAAGGACCACCAAGGCGACGAUCCGUAGCUGGUUUGAGAGGACGACCAGCCACACUGGGACUGAGACACGGCCCAGACUCCUACGGGAGGCAGCAGUGGGGAAUUUUGGACAAUGGGGGCAACCCUGAUCCAGCCAUCCCGCGUGUGCGAUGAAGGCCUUCGGGUUGUAAAGCACUUUUGGCAGGAAAGAAAUCGCAUGGGUUAAUACCCUGUGUGGAUGACGGUACCUGCAGAAUAAGCACCGGCUAACUACGUGCCAGCCGCCGCGGUAA
rnacentral:rRNA from 1 species